rnacentral:rRNA from 1 species
GUCCACGCCGUAAACGAUGGGCACUAGGUGCUUGGGGGAGCUACCCCCUGAGUGCCGUCGCUAACUCAUUAAGUGCCCCGCCUGGGGAGUACGGCCGCAAGGCUGAAACUCAAAGGAAUUGACGGGGGCCCCGCACAAGCGGUUGAGCAUGUUGUUUAAUUCGACGCAACGCGAAGAACCUUACCUAGGCUUGACAUGCAUUGGAAAGCCCUGAGAAACCAGGGCCCCUCUUCGGAGUCCAUGCACAGGUGCUGCAUGGCUGUCGU